CCCGGGGAAUGCAACAGCUGAUUCACCUGCUCCACGCUGAUUAAUAAACAAACUACCAUUGUGUGGGGCCUAUCUUCCUACUGGACCUCAAAACCCACCUACUCCACAAGUUUAUCUUCACAAUUAUGAACUACCUGCUUCACGUCACACUACAGCACCUAAAAGCAAAUAAUAAAGUUUAUUCUUGAGUUAACCUGCCUCUGUAUUCAGCCAAUCCCUCCUGUACGUGAGUGACGCACCUGGAUGCUGCAUAAGGAGAGAUGGAAAUACCUAAGGUGUGGUCCUUACUUCCAAGGGGCUUACAGCAGAACGAAGACUCGAAAGCAAGCACACCCACAACCACAACACAGCAGCUGGCACACACAGCAGGAAAGACACCGGGUUUAAUGGAGCAGAGAAAGGGGGCGUCAUCUCCAGGCACAGCUCCAUGAAGAAGAUGACAUUGACCUGGGAGCUCUGAGCCUUCAUAUAAUGAGUAAGCUUUCAGCUGGAAGAAAUCCCAAGUGGAGAAACAGGAAGCUAUAAAAGAGCAAUGGUUUUGGAUUCACAAAACCUGCCUGAGUGAACCUGGUUGCCAUUCUAGCACAGAGAUCCUGUCUCAAAAAAAAAAAAAAAAAAGAGGCCUGAGAGAACGUGUUUAUGCCUUUUCCCAUGUGAAGACACAGCUGGAAAGCACCAUCCUUGAAACUAAGAGCAAGCCCUCAUCAGUCAGUGAAUCUGCUGACGCCAUGAUCUUGGAAUUCCCAGCUUCCAGAACUGUGAGCAAUAAAUGUACAUGAUUGCAAAUUA
rnacentral:lncRNA from 1 species